rnacentral:rRNA from 1 species
AUUGAACGCUGGCGGCAUGCUUUACACAUGCAAGUCGAACGGUAACAGGUUAAGCUGACGAGUGGCGAACGGGUGAGUAAUGCAUCGGAACGUGCCGGACCGGAGGGGAUAACACUUCGAAAGAAGUGCUAAUACCGCAUACGAUCUGAGAAUGAAAGCGGGGGAACGAAAGGCCUCGCGCGAUUGGAGCGGCUGAUGUCGGAUUAGGCAGUUGGUGGGGUAAAGGCUCACCAAGCCGACGAUCUGAAGCUGGUCUGAGGGGACGACCAGCCACACUGGGACAGAGACACGGCCCAGACACCUGCGGGGAGCAGCGGUGGGGAAUUUUGGACAAUGGGGCCAAGCCUGAUCCAGCAAAGCCGCGGGCAGGAAGAAGGCCUUCGGGUUGUAAACUGCUUUAGUACGGAGCGAAAAGGCUCCCUCUAAUACAGGGGGCUAAUGACGGUACCGUAAGAAUAAGCACCGGCUAACUACGUGCCAGCAGCCGCCGUAA